AGUCAAUAGAUACCCCGGUAGUCCACGCCGUAAACGAUGUCGACUUGGAGGUUGUGCCCUUGAGACGUGGCUUCCGGAGCUAAACGCGUUAAGUCGACCGCCUGGGGAGUACGGCCGCAAGGUUAAAACUCAAAUGAAUUGACGGGGGCCCGCACAAGCGGUGGAGCAUGUGGUUUAAUUCGAUGCAACGCGAAGAACCUUACCUACUCUUGACAUCCAGAGAACUUAGCAGAGAUGCUUUGGUGCCUUCGGGAACUCUGAGACAGGUGCUGCAUGGCUGUCGUCAGCUCGUGUUGUGAAAUGUUGGGUUAAGUCCCGCAACGAGCGCAACCCUUAUCCUUUGUUGCCAGCGGUUAGGCCGGGAACUCAAAGGAGACUGCCAGUGAUAAACUGGAGGAAGGUGGGGAUGACGUCAAGUCAUCAUGGCCCUUACGAGUAGGGCUACACACGUGCUACAAUGGCGCAUACAAAGAGAAGCGACCUCGCGAGAGCAAGCGGACCUCAUAAAGUGCGUCGUAGUCCGG
rnacentral:rRNA from 1 species